rnacentral:tRNA from 1 species
GGGCUGGUAGUUCAACUCGGUAGAACGCUCCCUUGGCUAGGGAGAGGCUCCGGGUUCAAAUCCCGGCCAGUCCA